GACGAACGCUGGCGGCGUGCUUAACACAUGCAAGUCGAACGCAAAGUCCCUACCUUAGUUUGCUACACCAUUGGCUAACGGGUGCGUACCACGUAGGUACGCUUCCGUAACCUUCGGGAUAACGGGGGGAAACUGUGGCUAAUGCCGGCUAGUACCGCAUAAUGUUUGUUGUGGCAUGAUAAUUUUCGGAGAGGUGCAAUUGCACCACUACUAAAUGGAUUUGCGGUGUAUUAGCUAGGAGGUGAGGUAACGGCUCUCCUAGGCGAGGAAACAUAGCCGAACGGGUAGGGUGAUCGGCCACACUGGGACUGGGACAGGGCCCAUAGGCCUACGGGAGGCAGCAGUAGGGCAUCGGCGGCAAUGGACGAGAGUCUGACCGAGCAGGGCCGAGUCAGUGAAGAAGGUUUUCGGAUCGUGAAGCUCGGUUGUAGGGGAAGAACGGGUGUGAGAGUGGAAAGUUCACUCUGUGACGGUAUCUGACCAGGAAGCACCGGCUAACUACGUG
rnacentral:rRNA from 1 species